CCCAGAGGUUUUAGUUUUACAACUAGAUUUAUUUUCUCACUAAAUAAAUACACUAAAUGUUUGAUAUUUCUAAAUGUUUUUUGUCUAAGAUUAUACCACUACAGCAAAGAUGGAUUUAUUUUAAGACUUUUCCUUUUUGUGGUGGGUGGGCAAUUCAGAGAUACUUUUCUGCUCGCUGCAGCUUAAACAACAAACACAUUUUUCAAGUCUCAUCAAGUUUAUUAACUUUCCCAAUCAGUUCUUGCAGCAAGAUGUUUACUGGAUUGAUAUUCAUUCAUUUUCGUAAAAGGUUAUAGCUUUUUAAAAAUACAAACUCUGAACCUCCAAGCGCCCAAAAUAUCAAUAAAUGGGAAAGGCAAACAUAAUGAGAACAUAUUGAUUCUCAACUCAAUAAAGAUCCAUUUGAUAAACCCAUUCCCGUGUCUCUGAAAAAGAAAAACAGGACAUCACUAAGUCAGCUAACAAAUGAACUCCUAAAACUGUGCUAUCAUAUUUACCAGCAUAAAGAAGAGUUUGUUCAGAACACACUUCAUAUUCGGGGUCUUUAGAAGUCUUUAACAUCAGAUAUGAACAAUGUCAGCAUAUUUAUGAAUAUUUUACUUUCCCAAAACUAAUAGAAUACAAUAAACAGAAAAGCUUUGUAUGAUUUGUCACCUGGUACCAUAUGAAAGUUUAUUAAAGGGCAAUUUGCUUUGGUUUUUGUUGUAUAUUUUCAAAACAGACUCUCCUUUUGUGUGAAAGAAAUGAAGCACACCCACCUGGAACUCCAUGUUGCUUUCAUCAACUGGGACUUUUUUUUCUUCCUUAUUCAGCUCCAGUUUGUUUUGCCUUGUUUUUUUUAUUCCCCUAUCUAUCCAAGUGUCUCUUUCUGUUCACUGUAGUUUCUCUCUUUCCCAUUUUUUCUUGUGUUAGGGUCACUAACCAUUGUUUGCUAACUGCAAUCUUCCCCAGAGAUUUGCUCAUAUGCAGCAUUUGAGAGUGUGUGUGUGUGUGUGAGGGUUAUUAUGCAUACAGCAGUGUGUGUUCAAAUGUGUUGCAUCUCUGCUGAUUGGUUGAACAAAAGCAUGGACUACCCUGAUAUGUGGAUAUGCUGGCCCAUCUCCAGAGUUGGCAGUGUGCCGGCAUGUCGUUGGUCAUGCAUGAUUUGGCAGAGUUUCACAGCAGAUGUAAGAGGCCGCAGCAGGAGAACAAGGGGAAGUCGCUUGUUAGCCAAGACUGUUUGACCAUAAUGAAUCUUUGUCUUGCUAAACAAUUCUGACCUUGGGAAAGUAGCUGAUGCAUGAUGCGUUUAUGCACAAUUUUACAUUUAACUCAAACCAGUCUAAGCAGAAUGCUGA